UUGCCUUAAACUAAUGAGUAAGGAAAACAAAGCGAGCGGUGAGAGCCGUUUGCAGCGCCCAUUCCAGUAAGUGGCGCAAGAAUUUAUGGAGGGGUGAUAGGCUGGCCGGGCGUUGACGCUGCUUACUUUGCAGAACUCGCUUGCGCGGGCCUCCC
rfam:Ipomoea nil DNA, scaffold: scaffold1407, cultivar: Tokyo-kokei standard.